rnacentral:tRNA from 1 species
UCCCUGGUGGUCCAGUGGCUAAGACUCUGCACUCCUAAUGUGGAGGGCCUGGUUUCAAUCCCUGAUCAGGGAA